rnacentral:rRNA from 1 species
GGGGAAUAUUGGACAAUGGGCGAAAGCCUGAUCCAGCAAUGCCGCGUGAGUGAUGAAGGCCUUAGGGUUGUAAAGCUCUUUUACCCGGGAUGAUAAUGACAGUACCGGGAGAAUAAGCCCCGGCUAACUCCGUGCCAGCAGCCGCGGUAAUACGGAGGGGGCUAGCGUUGUUCGGAAUUACUGGGCGUAAAGCGCACGUAGGCGGCUUUGUAAGUUAGAGGUGAAAGCCCGGGGCUCAACUCCGGAAUUGCCUUUAAGACUGCAUCGCUUGAACGUCGGAGAGGUAUGUGGAAUUCCGAGUGUAGAGGUGAAAUUCGUAGAUAUCCGGAAGAACACCGGUGGCGAAGGCGGCCUGCUGGGCAGUCUGGCUGACACUGAGGCGCGACAGCGUGGGGAGCAAAC